GGGAAGAUUAUAUCGGUAUGGGAUGGGGUCGCGUCCUAUCAGGUAGUCGGCGGGGUAACGGCCCACCGAGCCUACGACGGGUAGCCGGCCUGAGAGGGCGACCGGCCACAUUGGGACUGAGAUACGGCCCAGACUCCUACGGGAGGCAGCAGUGGGGAAUAUUGCACAAUGGGCGCAAGCCUGAUGCAGCGACGCCGCGUGCGGGAUGACGGCCUUCGGGUUGUAAACCGCUUUUGAUCGGGAGCAAGCCUUCGGGUGAGUGUACCUUUCGAAUAAGCACCGGCUAACUACGUGCCAGCAGCCGCGGUAAUACGUAGGGUGCAAGCGUUAUCCGGAAUUAUUGGGCGUAAAGGGCUCGUAGGCGGUUCGUCGCGUCCGGUGUGAAAGUCCAUCGCUUAACGGUGGAUCUGCGCCGGGUACGGGCGGGCUGGAGUGCGGUAGGGGAGACUGGAAUUCCCGGUGUAACGGUGG
rnacentral:rRNA from 1 species